AGAGUUUGAUCCUGGCUCAGGAUGAACGCUAGCUACAGGCUUAACACAUGCAAGUCGAGGGGCAGCAUGGACCCAGCUUUGCUGGGUUUGAUGGCGACCGGCGCACGGGUGAGUAACGCGUAUCCAACCUGCCCUUUACUCCGGGAUAGUCUCCUGAAAGGGAGUUUAAUACCGGAUGUGUUUGUCUUUCCGCAUGGGAGCGACAAAUAAAGAUUAAUUGGUAAAGGAUGGGGAUGCGUCCCAUUAGCUUGUUGGCGGGGUAACGGCCCACCAAGGCGACGAUGGGUAGGGGUUCUGAGAGGAAGGUCCCCCACAUUGGAACUGAGACACGGUCCAAACUCCUACGGGAGGCAGCAGUGAGGAAUAUUGGUCAAUGGACGCAAGUCUGAACCAGCCAAGUAGCGUGCAGGAUGACGGCCCUCUGGGUUGUAAACUGCUUUUAGUUGGGAAUAAAGUGCACCACGUGUGGUGUUUUGUAUGUACCAUCAGAAAAAGGACCGGCUAAUUCCGUGCCAGCAGCCGCGGUAAUACGGAAGGUCCAGGCGUUAUCCGGAUUUAUUGGGUUUAAAGGGAGCGCAGGCGGACCUUUAAGUCAGCUGUGAAAUACGGCGGCUCAACCGUCGAACUGCAGUUGAUACUGGAGGUCUUGAGUGCACACAGGGAUACUGGAAUUCAUGGUGUAGCGGUGAAAUGCUCAGAUAUCAUGAAGAACUCCGAUCGCGAAGGCAGGUAUCCGGGGUGCAACUGACGCUGAGGCUCGAAAGUGCGGGUAUCAAACAGGAUUAGAUACCCUGGUAGUCCGCACAGUAAACGAUGAAUACUCGCGAUUUGCGAUACACAGUAAGUCGCCAAGCGAAAGCGUUAAGUAUUCCACCUGGGGAGUACGCCGGCAACGGUGAAACUCAAAGGAAUUGACGGGGGCCCG
rnacentral:rRNA from 1 species